rnacentral:rRNA from 1 species
GUCUGUAGCCAAUGUUAGCUGAACAUGAAAGUUAAGCAUAUCAACCCUAGUUAGUAUUUGGAUGGGAGACCCACUGGGUAAUACUAGGGUUGAAGGCU